rnacentral:lncRNA from 1 species
UCGACACUUGGUUUGCAUGAACUAGUGUAUGUCGAAACUGACCUCGUCACUCAAAGUGCAGGAACUAAUAUAGAUCUCGGCCAUUAUCUGUGAACUAGUCAUGGCACUUUCCAUGCAGACACAGGUAUAGAUCUCGCCUUUAUGCAUCUGAGCAACUCCAAGCACCUGGCCUCCAGGGACUUUGCAUAUUGUUUGUUUGCACUAGUCCUGGCAGCCGGUAUGCUCAGACUAACAUGGAUCCAGUGCAAUAUAUCUGAACUAGUUCCGGCAAUGUUGUGCGUUUUGUUCUUCAAACUUGAUGCUAGCCC